rnacentral:rRNA from 1 species
CCCUUAGAUGUUCUGGGCUGCACGCGCGCGACAAUGACGUUUGCAACGAGAUUGCGAGGCCGUCAGGUCGAGCUGAUCUUGCAAGCUGCGUCGUGAUAGGGACAGUCGAUUGCAAUUAUUCGACUCGAACGAGGAAUUCCUUGUAAUCGCGAUUCAUCAUAUCGCGCUGAAUACGUCCCUGCCCUUUGUACACACCGCCCGUCGCUCCUACCGAUUGAGCGAUCCGGUGAAUGUUUUGGACUGGCGUCAGAAGCGGUUCGCUCCUGACACUACGAAAUUUUGUAAACCUUAUCGCUUAGAGGAAGGAAAAGUCGUAACA